CGACCGGCGCACGGGUGAGUAACACGUAUGCAACCUGGCCGUCACAGGUGGAUAACCGGAAGAAAUUCCGACUAAUACAGCAUAACACUCCUGAGGGACAUCCCUUGGGAGUCAAAGGAGGCAACUCCGGUGACGGAUGGGCAUGCGGCGCAUUAGGUAGUUGGUAGGGUAACGGCCUACCAAGCCGACGAUGCGUAGGGGUUCUGAGAGGAAGGUCCCCCACAUUGGAACUGAGACACGGUCCAAGCUCCUACGGAAGGCAGCAG
rnacentral:rRNA from 1 species